rnacentral:rRNA from 1 species
GGGACACGUGGUAUCCUGUCUGAAUAUGGGGGGACCAUCCUCCAAGGCUAAAUACUCCUGACUGACCGAUAGUGAACCAGUACCGUGAGGGAAAGGCGAAAAGAACCCCGGCGAGGGGAGUGAAAAAGAACCUGAAACCGUGUACGUACAAGCAGUGGGAGCACGCUUAGGCGUGUGACUGCGUACCUUUUGUAUAAUGGGUCAGCGACUUAUAUUCUGUAGCAAGGUUAACCGAAUAGGGGAGCCGAAGGGAAACCGAGUCUUAACUGGGCGUUAAGUUGCAGGGUAUAGACCCGAAACCCGGUGAUCUAGCCAUGGGCAGGUUGAAGGUUGGGUAACACUAACUGGAGGACCGAACCGACUAAUGUUGAAAAAUUAGCGGAUGACUUGUGGCUGGGGGUGAAAGGCCAAUCAAACCGGGAGAUAGCUGGUUCUCCCCGAAAGCUAUUUAGGUAGCGCCUCGUGAAUUCAUCUCCGGGGGUAGAGCACUGUUUCGGCAAGGGGGUCAUCCCGACUUACCAACCCGAUGCAAACUGCGAAUACCGGAGAAUGUUAUCACGGGAGACACACGGCGGGUGCUAACGUCCGUCGUGAAGAGGGAAACAACCCAGACCGCCAGCUAAGGUCCCAAAGUCAUGGUUAAGUGGGAAACGAUGUGGGAAGGCCCAGACAGCCAGGAUGUUGGCUUAGAAGCAGCCAUCAUUUAAAGAAAGCGUAAUAGCUCACUGGUCGAGUCGGCCUGCGCGGAAGAUGUAACGGGGCUAAACCAUGCACCGAAGCUGCGGCAGCGACGCUUAUGCGUUGUUGGGUAGGGGAGCGUUCUGUAAGCCUGUGAAGGUGUGCUGUGAGGCAUGCUGGAGGUAUCAGAAGUGCGAAUGCUGACAUAAGUAACGAUAAAGCGGGUGAAAAGCCCGCUCGCCGGAAGACCAAGGGUUCCUGUCCAACGUUAAUCGGGGCAGGGUGAGUCGACCCCUAAGGCGAGGCCGAAAGGCGUAGUCGAUGGGAAACAGGUUAAUAUUCCUGUACUUGGUGUUACUGCGAAGGGGGGACGGAGAAGGCUAUGUUGGCCGGGCGACGGUUGUCCCGGUUUAAGCGUGUAGGCUGGUUUUCCAGGCAAAUCCGGAAAAUCAAGGCUGAGGCGUGAUGACGAGGCACUACGGUGCUGAAGCAACAAAUGCCCUGCUUCCAGGAAAAGCCUCUAAGCAUCAGGUAACAUCAAAUCGUACCCCAAACCGACACAGGUGGUCAGGUAGAGAAUACCAAGGCGCUUGAGAGAACUCGGGUGAAGGAACUAGGCAAAAUGGUGCCGUAACUUCGGGAGAAGGCACGCUGAUAUGUAGGUGAAGCGACUUGCUCGUGGAGCUGAAAUCAGUCGAAGAUACCAGCUGGCUGCAACUGUUUAUUAAAAACACAGCACUGUGCAAACACGAAAGUGGACGUAUACGGUGUGACGCCUGCCCGGUGCCGGAAGGUUAAUUGAUGGGGUCAGCGCAAGCGAAGCUCUUGAUCGAAGCCCCGGUAAACGGCGGCCGUAACUAUAACGGUCCUAAGGUAGCGAAAUUCCUUGUCGGGUAAGUUCCGACCUGCACGAAUGGCGUAAUGAUGGCCAGGCUGUCUCCACCCGAGACUCAGUGAAAUUGAACUCGCUGUGAAGAUGCAGUGUACCCGCGGCAAGACGGAAAGACCCCGUGAACCUUUACUAUAGCUUGACACUGAACAUUGAGCCUUGAUGUGUAGGAUAGGUGGGAGGCUUAGAAGUGUGGACGCCAGUCUGCAUGGAGCCGACCUUGAAAUACCACCCUUUAAUGUUUGAUGUUCUAACGU